AGUCGAGGGGCAGCAUUUCAGUUUGCUUGCAAACUGGAGAUGGCGACCGGCGCACGGGUGAGUAACACGUAUCCAACCUGCCGAUAACUCGGGGAUAGCCUUUCGAAAGAAAGAUUAAUACCCGAUGGUAUAAUCAGACCGCAUGGUCUUAUUAUUAAAGAAUUUCGGUUAUCGAUGGGGAUGCGUUCCAUUAGGCAGUUGGUGAGGUAACGGCUCACCAAACCUUCGAUGGAUAGGGGUUCUGAGAGGAAGGUCCCCCACAUUGGAACUGAGACACGGUCCAAACUCCUACGGGAGGCAGCAGUGAGGAAUAUUGGUCAAUGGGCGCAGGCCUGAACCAGCCAAGUAGCGUGAAGGAUGACUGCCCUAUGGGUUGUAAACUUCUUUUAUAUGGGAAUAAAGUUUUCCACGUGUGGAAUUUUGUAUGUACCAUAUGAAUAAGGAUCGGCUAACUCCGUGCCAGCAGCCGCGGUAAUACGGAGGAUCCGAGCGUUAUCCGGAUUUAUUGGGUUUAAAGGGAGCGUAGGUGGACAGUUAAGUCAGUUGUGAAAGUUUGCGGCUCAACCGUAAAAUUGCAGUUGAUACUGGCUGUCUUGAGUACAGUAGAGGUGGGCGGAAUUCGUGGUGUAGCGGUGAAAUGCUUAGAUAUCACGAAGAACUCCGAUUGCGAAGGCAGCUCACUGGACUGCAACUGACACUGAUGCUCGAAAGUGUGGGUAUCAAACAGGAUUAGAUACCCUGGUAGUCCACACAGUAAACGAUGAAUACUCGCUGUUUGCGAUAUACAGUAAGCGGCCAAGCGAAAGCAUUAAGUAUUCCACCUGGGGAGUACGCCGGCAACGGUGAAACUCAAAGGAAUUGACGGGGGCCCGCACAAGCGGAGGAACAUGUGGUUUAAUUCGAUGAUACGCGAGGAACCUUACCCGGGCUUAAAUUGCAUUUGAAUAANUUGGAAACAGGUUAGCCGCAAGGCAAAUGUGAAGGUGCUGCAUGGUUGUCGUCAGCUCGUGCCGUGAGGUGUCGGCUUAAGUGCCAUAACGAGCGCAACCCUUAUCUUUAGUUACUAACAGGUCAUGCUGAGGACUCUAGAGAGACUGCCGUCGUAAGAUGUGAGGAAGGUGGGGAUGACGUCAAAUCAGCACGGCCCUUACGUCCGGGGCUACACACGUGUUACAAUGGGGGGUACAGAAGGCAGCUACCUGGUGACAGGAUGCUAAUCCCAAAAGCCUCUCUCAGUUCGGAUCGAAGUCUGCAACCCGACUUCGUGAAGCUGGAUUCGCUAGUAAUCGCGCAUCAGCCAUGGCGCGGUGAAUACGUUCCCGGGCCUUGUACACACCGCCCGUCAAGCCAUGAAAGCCGGGGGUACCUGAAGUACGUAACCGCAAGGAG
rnacentral:rRNA from 1 species